UACGUAGGGGGCAAGCGUUGUCCGGAAUCAUUGGGCGUAAAGAGCGCGUAGGUGGCUCGGUAAGUCCGCUGUGAAAGUCCAGGGCUCAACCCUGGAAAGCCGGUGGAAACUGUCGAGCUCGAGUCCGGAAGAGGCGAGUGGAAUUCCUGGUGUAGCGGUGAAAUGCGCAGAUAUCAGGAGGAACACCAAUGGCGAAGGCAGCUCGCUGGGACGGUACUGACACUGAGACGCGAAAGCGUGGGGAGCAAACAGG
rnacentral:rRNA from 1 species